rnacentral:rRNA from 1 species
ACGCACGCUGGCGGCGUGCCUAAUACAUGCAAGUUGAGCGCUGAAGGUUGGUACUUGUACCAACUGGAUGAGCAGCGAACGGGUGAGUAACGCGUGGGGAAUCUGCCUUUGAGCGGGGGACAACAUUUGGAAACGAAUGCUAAUACCGCAUAAAAACUUUAAACACAAGUUUUAAGUUUGAAAGAUGCAAUUGCAUCACUCAAAGAUGAUCCCGCGUUGUAUUAGCUAGUUGGUGAGGUAAAGGCUCACCAAGGCGAUGAUACAUAGCCGACCUGAGAGGGUGAUCGGCCACAUUGGGACUGAGACACGGCCCAAACUCCUACGGGAGGCAGCAGUAGGGAAUCUUCGGCAAUGGACGAAAGUCUGACAGAGAAACGCCGCGUGAGUGAAGAAGGGUUUCGGAUAGUAAAACUCUGUUGGUAGAGAAGAACGUUGGUGAGAGUGGAAAGCUCAUCAAGUGACGGUAACUACCCAGAAAGGGACGGCUAACUACGUG